GUUUGAUUACUUGAUAAUUUCUUGGUUGACUGAGUUGAUAUUAGUUAUGUUUUUGGCUUGUUAUAAAGUGAAUUGAUUGUGAUGUGUUGUGAAGUGAAUUGAUUGUGAUGUGUUGUGAAGUGAAAUGAUUGUGAUUAAGGAUUGAUGACUUUUGUAUGGAUAUUGUGUGAUCGGGAAAGCUGAGCCGGGCGGAUAGCUACCCGAGUAUGUGAGAUGGCAAGACUGAGCUGGGCGGAUAGUCUUGUCAAGUGGUUACUGAAAUUUAAAAAUGUGAGGAAAUGUAAGGAUGAGUCAUCUGAUCCUAAUUUGAUAGAAAUAAUGUGGAAUUGAAUUAUUUGACUUGGUUGAGUUUGAGAUUAUUU
rnacentral:lncRNA from 1 species